UGAGUAACCUGCCCAUGACUCUGGAAUAACUGCUGGAAACAGCCGCUAAUACCGGAUAUUACCUUUGAAGACAUCUUCGAUGGUGGAAAGUUCCGGCGGUCAUGGAUGGGCUCGCGGCCUAUCAGCUGGUUGGUGAGAUAAUGGCUCCCCAAGGCUUCGACGGGUAACCGGCUGGAGGGGGCGACCGGCCACACUGGGACUGAGAUACCGGCCCAGACUCCGUACGGGGAGGCAGCAGG
rnacentral:rRNA from 1 species